CGAAUGCUGACAUAAGUAACGAUAAAGCGGGUGAAAAGCCCGCUCGCCGGAAGACCAAGGGUUCCUGUCCAACGUUAAUCGGGGCAGGGUGAGUCGACCCCUAAGGCGAGGCCGAAAGGCGUAGUCGAUGGGAAACAGGUUAAUAUUCCUGUACUUGGUGUUACUGCGAAGGGGGGACGGAGAAGGCUAUGUUGGCCGGGCGACGGUUGUCCCGGUUUAAGCGUGUAGGCUGGUUUUCCAGGCAAAUCCGGAAAAUCAAGGCUGAGGCGUGAUGACGAGGCACUACGGUGCUGAAGCAACAAAUGCCCUGCUUCCAGGAAAAGCCUCUAAGCAUCAGGUAACAUCAAAUCGUACCCCAAACCGACACAGGUGGUCAGGUAGAGAAUACCAAGGCGCUUGAGAGAACUCGGGUGAAGGAACUAGGCAAAAUGGUGCCGUAACUUCGGGAGAAGGCACGCUGAUAUGUAGGUGAAGUCCCUCGCGGAUGGAGCUGAAAUCAGUCGAAGAUACCAGCUGGCUGCAACUGUUUAUUAAAAACACAGCACUGUGCAAACACGAAAGUGGACGUAUACGGUGUGACGCCUGCCCGGUGCCGGAAGGUUAAUUGA
rnacentral:rRNA from 1 species